ACACCCCAGACUCUCUGGCGUCAGAAGGGGGAGACCGAAUCCCGUGAACCCGGGCAAGGGCCUCGGUCACCAGCUGCAACUGGAAAGGGCUGAGAUUUGUCAUCCCACCUGGAGAGCCAAAGAGGCAUAGCUGAGCCCCUGAGAUUCCAGCUGACUCCUCCCAACCUUGUUUCUGAAUAUACAGUAGUCUUCUCUCCAGUUUAAUAGAUGGGCGUCUGGGUGCCCUGGGAGAAUAUCUGGCCUUCAUCCAACCAUCUAUAUUGCCUGAGAAGACGUGACGGACAGGCCAGAGGCUUUGGUUUACAGAGCGUCUAUCGGCAGCCCAGGGUUAGUUUUCGGAACAAAAAAAUCCAAUGGAGGAGCACUUGGACUGACUAUUAAGUAGAGGGAGACUAUGGAUUCACUUCAGUCUGGGGGAGGGGUCUCAUCAGAGGAGAGGAAAUUGUUAUUUAAGUUGUUGUUGUUGUUGUCAUUGUCCUCAUCCUGUUAGAAUGAUAGGGGAUACUUUGCCUGCUGUGUAGCUUGACUUGGGUGAGUAAGACGGGGAGGGGCUGCCUUGGCUGCCCUGCCCUGAGCCAGCAGGAUGCCUUCUGCAAUGCCGAAGGGACAGGAGAGGCUGGUACAAGUGUUGUUAGGGACUACACCCUAUGGACUUGCUGAGGUCUUUUGUUGUGCUUUUCAUGAAUUUAAUGCAUUUUAGUAUGUUUUAAUGUAACACGCUGUACAUGGGGAUUCCCUUGAAGCUGACCCAGAGACUGAGCAGCUUGAAAAUGCGGUGAGAGUAAAUUUUGACCCCCUCUCCCCAGUUUGGGCUCUCUUGCACGGGCUACUUGUGAUGUCCUGGGUCAAGUUCAAUGUUUCCACCUAUAAAGCGCACCACGGUUUGGGAUCACAUUACUUCUUGGAGGGUCUUUCCCCAAGGUCCUCCACCUGCACCUCCAGGCCCUCCCAGACCAUGUUCCUCUGGGUGUCCACACCGAAGGAGGCCAGGAAAACAUGACCUAGAAGUUGGCCCUUCUUGGCUGUGGCACCAGUCCUGUAGAACUGGCUCCCAGUCAAGCUGUGCCUGAUCCGCUCCCUGCCUACCUUCAAGUUGCUUAAGAAAGAUGCACUUCUUCAUUAGGCUUUUGACAGCAAGCAACCUCAUAUGCAUUUGCCACUUGGCCUUCCCGCCCUAUGAUGGGUAACGUUUGUGCUGUCUUGGCUUUGUAAUGUUGUAACCAGUAUGGUUUGUUUUUGAGUUUAUUACUCUUAUAAUUUUAUUGU